AGCUCCAAUAGCGUAUAUUAAAGUUGUUGCAGUUUAAAAGCUCGUUGUUGGAUUUCUGGCUGGGCAUGUGGGUCCGCUCUUACGAGUGUGCACCAUACAUGCCUUGCCAUCCUUUGGGAGAGCCACAGUGGCAUUAAGUUGUUGGUGUUGGGGAUCCCAAUACUUUAAUGUGAAGAAAUUAUAGUGUUCAAAGCAGGCUUACGCCGUUGAAUAUAUUAGCAUGGAAUAAUAACAUAGUACUAUUGUACUAUUUUGUUGGUUUGCCCAAAACAGUAGUGAUUAACAGGGACAGUUGGGGUUAUUUGUAUUCCAUUGUCAGGUGUGAAAUUCUUUGAUUUUUGGAAGACAAACUACUGCAAAAGCAUUUACCAAAGAUGUUUUCA
rnacentral:rRNA from 1 species